CAGAGCAAAGCUGAGUACCUGUGUGUACCUGUGUGUACCUGUGAACCAAUAUUCGGAGCCUAUCAACAUACAGCUCGGUUCCAUUUCAGCACAAAUCCCUCGGAAAUAGGAAGCUGACUAAUACAAUUUUUAAAAAAGAAAGAAGGAAACUAUUUAGGGCCAGCCUAAAAUGAAUCAGAAAUAAGAUUAUUGUUGUGUGUUCUUUUUUCCCCCCAGGAUCUUUCAUUAAAGACUAAAGUGCUUAUUAUAGAAAUUGUUUUAUGACAGAAUUAGAACCUUACCAAUAAUCGAGGCUCCAGAGGAGACAUCACUUCACUGAGGAUAUCAGCAGAAGGAUGUUUGAUAUCUCAAAAAAAAACAAACAGAUUUGCUUGGAAAUGAAAGUACAAACUGAUCAUCUCCCUUAGAACCACUGUGGAGCCAAAGGGAAUAUUGCCAGAUAGAACAGUAUAAGCCAAUAAAAUUGGAUCAUCAGGCAAGAAAGAGGCUCAGUGAGAGGCAUAGCCCAGCUUCAAAUGAGGAGCUCCAAUUCCUAUCUGAUGCUUUUCACCACACCAUUUGCUUCCC